rnacentral:rRNA from 1 species
CCUACGGGAGGCAGCAGUAGGGAAUCUUGCGCAAUGGACGAAAGCCUGACCCAGCAACGCCGCGUGAGGGAAGAAGGCUUUCGGAUUGUAAACUUCUUUUGACAGGGAAGAGCAGCAGACAGUGCAUGUCUAAUCACCCACGGCUAACUACGUGCCAGCAGCCGCGGUAAUACGUAGGUGGCAGGCGUUGUCCGGAUUUACUGGGAGUAAAGGGCGUGUAGCCGGGCUGGCAAGUCAGAUGUGAAAUCCGGGGGCUCAACCCCCGAACGGCAUUUGAAACUGUUGGUCUUGAGUAUAGGAGAGGAAGGCGGAAUUCCGAGUGUAGCGGUGAAAUGCGUAGAUAUUAGGAGGAACACCAGUGGCGAAGGCGGCUUGCUGGACGAUAACUGACGGUGAGGCGCGAAAGCGUGGGGAGCAAACAGGAUUAGAUACCCGUGUAGUC